rnacentral:rRNA from 1 species
AUUGAACGCUGGCGGCAGGCCUAACACAUGCAAGUCGAGCGGCAGCGGAAAGUAGCUUGCUACUUUGCCGGCGAGCGGCGGACGGGUGAGUAAUGUCUGGGAAACUGCCUGAUGGAGGGGGAUAACUACUGGAAACGGUGGCUAAUACCGCAUAACGUCGCAAGACCAAAGUGGGGGACCUUCGGGCCUCACGCCAUCGGAUGUGCCCAGAUGGGAUUAGCUAGUAGGUGGGGUAAUGGCUCACCUAGGCGACGAUCCCUAGCUGGUCUGAGAGGAUGACCAGCCACACUGGAACUGAGACACGGUCCAGACUCCUACGGGAGGCAGCAGUGGGGAAUGUUGCACAAUGGGCGCAAGCCUGAUGCAGCCAUGCCGCGUGUGUGAAGAAGGCCUUCGGGUUGUAAAGCACUUUCAGCGAGGAGGAAGGCAUCAUACUUAAUACGUGUGGUGAUUGACGUUACUCGCAGAAGAAGCACCGGCUAACUCCGUGCCAGCAGCCGCGGUAAUACGGAGGGUGCAAGCGUUAAUCGGAAUUACUGGGCGUAAAGCGCACGCAGGCGGUUUGUUAANUCANAUGUGAAAUCCCCGCGCUUAACGUGGGAACUGCAUUUGAAACUGGCAAGCUAGANUCUUGUA